UGGAGGUGAUGAGCGACUCGGUCCUGAAUCCGGCGUGAGGGCGAAAGCUGAUUUAAUGAGCCUGAUCC